rnacentral:rRNA from 1 species
UACGAAGGGGGCUAGCGUUGUUCGGAAUCACUGGGCGUAAAGCGCACGUAGGCGGACUUCUAAGUCAGGGGUGAAAUCCCAGGGCUCAACCCUGGAACUGCCCUUGAUACUGGGAGUCUCGAGUCCGGGAGAGGUGAGUGGAACUCCGAGUGUAGAGGUGAAAUUCGUAGAUAUUCGGAAGAACACCAGUGGCGAAGGCGGCUCACUGGCCCGGUACUGACGCUGAGGUGCGAAAGCGUGGGGAGCAAACAGG